GGAUUAGAUACCCGGGUAGUCCUAGCCGUAAACGAUGGAUACUAGGCGUGGCUUGUAUCGACCCGAGCCGUGCCGUAGCUAACGCGUUAAGUAUCCCGCCUGGGGAGUACGCCGGCAACGGUGAAACUCAAAGGAAUUGACGGGGGCCCGCACAAGCGGUGGAGUAUGUGGUUUAAUUCGAUGCAACGCGAAGAACCUUACCAAGGCUUGACAUACGCCGGAAACACUCAGAGAUGGGUGCCCCGCAAGGUCGGUGUACAGGUGGUGCAUGGUUGUCGUCAGCUCGUGUCGUGAGAUGUUGGGUUAAGUCCCGCAACGAGCGCAACCCUCGUUCUAUGUUGCCAGCGGGUUAUGCCGGGGACUCAUAGGAGACUGCCGGGGUCAACUCGGAGGA
rnacentral:rRNA from 1 species